rnacentral:rRNA from 1 species
GAUGAACGCUGGCGGCGUGCCUAAUACAUGCAAGUCGAGCGAACAGACGAGGAGCUUGCUCCUCUGACGUUAGCGGCGGACGGGUGAGUAACACGUGGAUAACCUACCUAUAAGACUGGGAUAACUUCGGGAAACCGGAGCUAAUACCGGAUAAUAUAUUGAACCGCAUGGUUCAAUAGUGAAAGACGGUUUUGCUGUCACUUAUAGAUGGAUCCGCGCCGCAUUAGCUAGUUGGUAAGGUAACGGCUUACCAAGGCAACGAUGCGUAGCCGACCUGAGAGGGUGAUCGGCCACACUGAACUGAGACACGGUCCAGACUCCUACGGGAGGCAGCAGUAGGGAAUCUUCCGCAAUGGGCGAAAGCCUGACGGAGCAACGCCGCGUGAGUGAUGAAGGUCUUCGGAUCGUAAAACUCUGUUAUUAGGGAAGAACAAAUGUGUAAGUAACUAUGCACGUCUUGACGGUACCUAAUCAGAAAGCCACGGCUAACUACGUG